CUGCCCCAUACCGGGGGAUACCACCUGGAAACAGGUGCUAAUACCGCAUAAGCGCACGGGAGCGCAUGCUCCUGUGUGAAAAACUCCGGUGGUACGGGAUGGACCCGCGUCUGAUUAGCCAGUUGGCAGGGUAACGGCCUACCAAAGCGACGAUCAGUAGCCGGCCUGAGAGGGUGGACGGCCACAUUGGGACUGAGACACGGCCCAAACUCCUACGGGAGGCAGCAGUGGGGAAUAUUGCACAAUGGGGGAAACCCUGAUGCAGCGACGCCGCGUGAGUGAAGAAGUAUUUCGGUAUGUAAAGCUCUAUCAGCAGGAACGAGACAAGACGGUACCUGACUAAGAAGCCCCGGCUAACUACGUGCCAGCAGCCGCGGUAAUACGUAGGGGGCAAGCGUUAUCCGGAAUCACUGGGUGUAAAGGGAGCGUAGACGGCUGUGCAAGCCUGAAGUGAAAGGCGGGGGCCCAACCCCUGGACUGCUUUGGGAACUGUACGGCUGGAGUGCAGGAGAGGUAAGUGGAAUUCCUAGUGUAGCGGUGAAAUGCGUAGAUAUUAGGAGGAACACCAGUGGCGAAGGCGGCUUACUGGACUGUAACUGACGUUGAGGCUCGAAAGCGUGGGGAGCAAACAGGAUUAGAUACCCUGGUAGUCCACGCCGUAAACGAUGA
rnacentral:rRNA from 1 species